GACGAACGCUGGCGGCGUGCUUAACACAUGCAAGUCGAACGAUGAAGCCCAGCUUGCUGGGUGGAUUAGUGGCGAACGGGUGAGUAACACGUGGGCAACCUGCCCCAAACUCUGGGAUAACUCCUCGAAAGAGGUGCUAAUACCGGAUACGAACUAGACAGACAUCUGUACUAGUUGGAAAGUUUUUCGGUUUGGGAUGGGCCCGCGGCCUAUCAGAUUGUUGGUGAGGUAACGGGUCACCAAGGCUACGACGGGUAACCGGCCUGAGAGGGCGACCGGUCACACUGGGACUGAGACACGGCCCAGACUCCAACGGGAGGCAGCAGUGGGGAAUAUUGCGCGAUGGGCGAAAGCCUGACGCAGCGACGCCGCGUGAGGGAUGAAGGUCUUCGGAUCGUAAACCUCUUUCAGUAGGGACGAAGCGAAAGUGACGGUACCUAAAGAAGAAGCACCGGCUAACUACGUGCCAGCCGCCGCGGUAA
rnacentral:rRNA from 1 species